CCGCCGGCCCGCUUCUCCCGCAAUCUCGCUCGCGCGCGCGGCCUUGGCUUCUCCCGCGCUCGCUCUCUUCCCACGCACGGCCUCUGCUUCUCCCGCGCGCGCUCGCCAGCGUCCUAUCCAAGCACUUCGACCCUUAUUUCCUCCGGUCCAAGCACCAAAUUCCAAGACCCAACAUUCUCCGAACCUAAUCCAUCCCAAAUCGACGUGAAUCCACUCCGGCCGCUGUCCUCAAGUUCCAGGCAAGGAAAGGCAGGGCGAGGUAGGGGUGCUCCGGCCGCCGUCGCUGCCAGAUCUACUUCGGUCAAUGGCGCUCGCGUCACCCCUACUGAUGGAUCCAGUUCGGCCGCUGGUAAUCCCGCUGUCGUGGCUGCAGCAGCAUAUCCACCGCUUCCAAGUCUUCAAGCCACCGGAUUUCCUGCUUGGUGGACAAGUUCACGAUGGGCUCCAAUGAAGGGAUUUACCCACCAGGUGGUUUUAUCAAUUUGAUCCAGCCAAACAGUAGUUUAGAGAAUUUCCAUUUAAUUGGCAAUAGAACAAGCACAGCUAGAAAUUCGCCAAGCACUCCACAAGCAUCUUCAACUAUUUGCAGAAAAACAAGAAGGGGCAAGGAAGGAUGUUGAGUGCGCCUUUGGGAUUUUGCAGUCUCGCUUUUGUAUUUUGCGUCGACCAGCACGUUUGUACAAGCAAGGGGAUCUUCAGAAUAUCAUGCUUGCCUGUAUAAUCCUCCACAACAUGAUAAUUGAAGAUGAGAAGGAUAUAGAGCAGGUUCCACUUGAUUUGAAUGAGGAAGGCAACGCAUAUAUUGUUCAAGGAGCUACAGUUUCUCAUGGACAAAACCCAGAGUUGGAAGGCUUGCUUAAUAGAAAUACCGCCGUACAUGAUCGCAUAGCGUACAAACAACUUCAAUCUAAUUUGAUUGAUCAUAUUUGGCAAAAGUUUGGGAAUUCAAAUAGGAAAAAUAAUUAGAUGAUGGUUUCUGGACUGCUGUGCAAACUGAUGGCUUCUGAAGCUCGUGUGUGCUACCUGACAUGAUAUGGACAUCAACUACAUGGAUGAGAGAUGAUGGAUGAUGGCAACUUAUUAUUUUUCUAUGGGUACCAUGAACUUUAUUUCUUUUGUUAUCAACUAUAUGUACCACCUAUCAUGAACUUUAGUUAUUUUGUUAUCAACUAUGUAUGCUACCUAUUAUCUUUAUUCCUGGAUGCUAUUGUUAUAUAUGGUUCUGGACUGCAGAAAUAGUGUAUUUUUUUACUAGCGCGCAUAAAGUAUGUUGUGGAGCUUGUGUAA